UACGUAGGGGGGCAAGCGUUGUCCGGAUUCAUUGGGCGUAAAGAGCGUGUAGGCGGCCAGGUAGGUCGGUUGUGAAAACUGGAGGCUCAACCUUCAGAGGUCGACCGAAACCAUCUGGCUAGAGUCCGGGAGAGGAGAGUGGAAUUCCUGGUGUAGCGGUGAAAUGCGCAGAUAUCAGGAAGAACACCCGUGGCGAAAGCGGCUCUCUGGGACGGUACUGACGCUGAGACGCGAAAGCGUGGGGAGCGAACAGG
rnacentral:rRNA from 1 species